AGAGUUUGAUCAUGGCUCAGAUUGAACGCUGGCGGCAGGCUUAACACAUGCAAGUCGAGCGGGGGAAGGUAGCUUGCUACUGGACCUAGCGGCGGACGGGUGAGUAAUGCUUAGGAAUCUGCCUAUUAGUGGGGGACAACAUCUCGAAAGGGAUGCUAAUACCGCAUACGUCCUACGGGAGAAAGCAGGGGAUCUUCGGACCUUGCGCUAAUAGAUGAGCCUAAGUCGGAUUAGCUAGUUGGUGGGGUAAAGGCCUACCAAGGCGACGAUCUGUAGCGGGUCUGAGAGGAUGAUCCGCCACACUGGGACUGAGACACGGCCCAGACUCCUACGGGAGGCAGCAGUGGGGAAUAUUGGACAAUGGGGGGAACCCUGAUCCAGCCAUGCCGCGUGUGUGAAGAAGGCCUUAUGGUUGUAAAGCACUUUAAGCGAGGAGGAGGCUACUUUAGUUAAUACCUAGAGAUAGUGGACGUUACUCGCAGAAUAAGCACCGGCUAACUCUGUGCCAGCAGCCGCGGUAAUACAGAGGGUGCGAGCGUUAAUCGGAUUUACUGGGCGUAAAGCGUGCGUAGGCGGCUUAUUAAGUCGGAUGUGAAAUCCCCGAGCUUAACUUGGGAAUUGCAUUCGAUACUGGUGAGCUAGAGUAUGGGAGAGGAUGGUAGAAUUCCAGGUGUAGCGGUGAAAUGCGUAGAGAUCUGGAGGAAUACCGAUGGCGAAGGCAGCCAUCUGGCCUAAUACUGACGCUGAGGUACGAAAGCAUGGGGAGCAAACAGGAUUAGAUACCCUGGUAGUCCAUGCCGUAAACGAUGUCUACUAGCCGUUGGGGCCUUUGAGGCUUUAGUGGCGCAGCUAACGCGAUAAGUAGACCGCCUGGGGAGUACGGUCGCAAGACUAAAACUCAAAUGAAUUGACGGGGGCCCGCACAAGCGGUGGAGCAUGUGGUUUAAUUCGAUGCAACGCGAAGAACCUUACCUGGCCUUGACAUACUAGAAACUUUCCAGAGAUGGAUUGGUGCCUUCGGGAAUCUAGAUACAGGUGCUGCAUGGCUGUCGUCAGCUCGUGUCGUGAGAUGUUGGGUUAAGUCCCGCAACGAGCGCAACCCUUUUCCUUACUUGCCAGCAUUUCGGAUGGGAACUUUAAGGAU
rnacentral:rRNA from 1 species